GGACUACAGGGGUAUCUAAUCCUGUUUGCUCCCCAUGCUUUCGUGCCUCAGUGUCAGUAGCUAUCCAGGAAGUCGCCUUCGCCACUGAUGUUCCUUCCGAUAUCUACGCAUUUCACUGCUACACCGGAAAUUCCACUUCCCUCUACAGUACUCUAGUCAUACAGUAUUAGGCGCAGUCCCCAGGUUAAGCCCGGGAAUUUCACACCUAACUUACACAACCACCUACGCACCCUUUACGCCCAGUAAUUCCGAUUAACGCUCGCACCCUCUGUAUUACCGCGGCGGCUGGCAC
rnacentral:rRNA from 2 species